rnacentral:lncRNA from 1 species
UACGAUACCUUUUCCAUUAGAGUAGUGGUAAGGUUCAGGUACAAUAUGUAUUUUUAGGAUUAAUUAGAGUUAGGCGGAGGGCCGGAGGCUAAUAUCUAGUUAAAAUGUAGCCAAUAUAGUGAUAUUAUUUUAAUUUUAACAACAAUGUAUUGGAAUUUGGAGUUUAUUCGAGGUGGCAAGUUCCGUUAGAAUAAGAUGGCGGAGUCAUCGCCCGGUUGACGCGUAUAUCCUUGAUAGCACUAGAAUCUAUCCCAGAAAGAAGGCAAAAGGAUAAAAAUGUAAGACUCGAUAAAACCGUCGAACAUCAUGGCAGGUCGAUUCCAAACAAUAGGCCAGUAUAUUAGGAGUCCAAAUAUACAAUGCGUUCGUGCGUCAAUCGAAACGCUAGAGGAUUAGGCCGGUCUCGCUAAGGAAUGUCCCGGUCUUGCUAAGGAACGUACCCGGUCUUGCUAAGGAAUAUACCCGGUCUUGCUAAGGAAUAUCCCGGUCUUGCUAAGGAAUAUCCGGUUUCACUAAGGAUUACCACACGCUUUCGCCACAAGAUACACACACGGUCUACGACGUAGAAAUCUUCCCGAUUAGGGAUUUUUCUAGUUACCAUUACGCAGAUGUUUAGUGUGUUGGCGCUACGGGCAGGCUUGUUCGUGUUAUGUUUCGCGCAAUAGCUACGAGAGCUUUAGUAUACGAUGUAGAUUUUAUGAUCGCAACGUUAUACGCAGAAAUCAUACUUAGAUCCCGACGCAGUUCAUUUUUAAACUAUGUCCCUACCAUAUCAUUUUUUAUAUUGUAAAAAGCUUUUAGUUUUCAAACACUUGUCUGAAACCUAUUAUUAUUUUUAAAACUUUUCAAACUACAAAGACAAUAAUACUCAAAAAGAUGACAACCGAAUACAUGAAACACUUCAAUACAUGAAAACUAAAUAUUUAUGAGAAGCAAAAGAGUAAUAAGAGAGAAAAGACAAAUAAAUGUUAAGGCGAAUCAAAUCAAAAUAUUCAAUUUAUUUGUAGAUAUACCAUCCAACGGAAAUUGAAAUAGUUUGAGAAAAGAUAAUCAUCACAGUCAUGUAAAAUAUAAUCAUACGAGAAUCAAGGAAUAUUUAUUUGUUAUAAAAAUACACGUCAGUUAGGCGUCGAAACAUGAAAACAACUGAAAAACAGUUAGUAAAUAUGAUAAUAGACCAUGCAGUCUCAUUUUAGUGAAGAUGUUUUUAUGGCGAAAACUUGAGAACUUGUCUGUUUUUCUAUUUUAAAUAAUUUUGUAAGUUCUACUAUUUCCGAGAAGACUAGUUAAAGAAGAUGUUAAGUACAUACGCACAUAAACGUGAUGAAAGUUUUACAUAGUGAAAAACUCGGUAAAAUAUAUAAAAAGGUUUAGUGUACAGAAAAUCUAUAUAGGGUCAAAAAGUUAUGGCCACUUAUUCAAAUCAUAGACUAGAUUAUGACCAAAAAUACGAUAAAACUAAACCAACUAUAAACCCAGCCUGCAUCAGGUAUAAUUUGAACACGAAAUCACAAGAACAAAUAAGUGUUGAAAUAUAAAUAAAGACUAUAUAAGAAUUUUAUGCACAAAAAUCUAAACAAAAGUAGAUAUUUCUGAAAGGAAGGAAUAACUAGAACAACAUUUAUUAAUGAUAUUAGAAAAUAAAUUCGGAUUUUUUAAAGAGACUCAGCUAACACGAAAUUUUAAAAAGAACUUUUUAACAUUAUGUACGCAUUUGAAAAAUAGCAUACAAUACGUAGAAUGUAAAGUGCUUACAAAAUAUUUAUGGUAUUUAUUAUGGUAGUUUUAGAAACUAACACAAGAGAAAACAAGAAAGAAUCAUUAUAUUUGGAAUACAUUAACAAAUAUGUUAUGUAGAGACACCAUUGUUACUGCGUUUAUUUAUAUUGGUAUUAAAUAAUUUGUUUUUUUUCUUGGCAAUAUGUUCACAUCAAUGCUAGUAGAGUAAUAUGACCACUGCACGAAAAUUGUUAAAUUAAAAACAGCGUAGAUAAAUUGGACUUUUUUUCGUGGUAAAUAAGAAUCAGCACAUUUUUUGGUAAGUGAUAUUCUUCGCUACUCGUUAAGAAAAAAAUAUAUUGCACUAUUUAGUCCGUGGUAAAUAAGAAUCAGCCCAUUUCUUGGUUAAUGAUAUUCACCGAUACACACUAUCGAAAUAUCAUCUGGCACCAAAAUUUACUACAAUUGAAGUUAUUUUUGCCCGUAAUUAAAUUAUACGACAAUCAAGAUUCAAUUAAACUUACACGUCAUUUAGAAAUCUGCCGAUUUCUAAGUUAUUCUACGUUAUACUUAACGAAAAAAAUAAUUUGUCAACAUCUGAAGGAGGCGGUUGAUUUUUAUUUGAUUUUAUUGUAUUUAAACAUAAACCACAGUUCAUUCUUAACACUACACAUUAUUUACGACCUAUAUUAGGUAUAUGUAUUUCUACUUAUAUAUUAUAUGUAUGUAUUAAUAAUUUUAUUUACUUUUAAAUCUUUUUAGCACCUUUUGAACCAUUCUUAGUUGAAACUCGAUGUUUAGAUAUUACGAAAAUGAAGCAUGGAUUAGAUUAAUAAAGUUAAGGAUUUGUCAUUUUGCAAUUUAUUGCACUGUUUCGCACUUGGAUGACUAGUGGUUAAUUCAUAAGGUUUGUUGCCCUGUACUUGUAAAUACUGAGGCUAACCUGUGCUGUUAAAGCCCUGUUCUUGUAAAUAAUGGAUAAUUCUGUUUUUACUACGUGGACGUUGGAAACACAGUCUCUAAUAUCUAAUAGUUAUAGUAACUGUCCACGUCAAAUAAUCGCUUUAUUUCAGAGGUAACAUUACUAAAACUUUAACGAUAAUAGGAUAUUUCGAGGGGAACUCUGCAGUGGCUAACAAAUUAUGGAUUGUAAAAUAUCUUUGGUCUUGUAUAAGCAUGAGGCUAGAAAGGUUUGGUUUAGUUUCCAAAACGUUGUUUGUGAAAAUAUUGCUACAAAGUUUCCGAAACGGCUUGUACGGUUGUAGACGCAUCAUCUGCAGAUAAUGACAUCACGCUUUACGCCUUUGAGAGUUGUUAUGAUCAUUCUAUCAUCGGCAUUUGUAUGGGUACGUACGUUUGAUACAUUUUGAAAUACACGAUGUUAUCAAUUUCAUUGAUUGAUUUAUUUGAUUGUAAUUAUUAGAUAUUAUUUAACGUUUUAACAUUUUUGUAUAAUAACAUUUUGUAUUAGCUUUGUGUAUUUUAUUUAGGUAUACGUUCAGUUAUUGGAAUAUUUUAAAGUGAAAUGAUAUAAAAUUUUAUUGCUCUGAUUUAAAUGGCACGUUUAUAAGAAUUAAAGUUGAAUUGAAGAAAAUUUAUUUAAAUCAGCCUAAAAUAGCGUAACUACGUGAAAAAUGAAUGACUUGAUUUCAGUUCCAUUUGACCAUCUGAAAGACUUUAUUGCAGGAAUUCGAAUAUAUUGACAAAAUUUGUAAAGCACAAUUAAUAUAGUUGAUGUUUAACGAAAUUGCAGCCUCGCAUCAAAUUAGCUUUUUCAUAUUUUCACAUUAAGCCAGUUACCCAGUAUCGUCGUAACUAGCCGACAGCAAGCUUAACAAACUGCCACUGAGCCUGUGUGGGGAUUAUUUUGGUAAAACACAACAUGCUAACUCACUAAGUGCCGUCGAGUACCGAGAUCGUACGAGUCCGUUGCUGCUCGGGUUGCCCGCUUAAAUGUGUUUUCAUUGUUCGAGUCUUAUCUUAUUAGUAACAAGUAUGCUUUUUAUUUGCAAUUUCAUCGUUGAUCUUUUUAAUAUACACAGUUUAUUUUAUUUAAAAUAUUCUGUGAUAUUUGGUAAAGUGCACCAAAAUUACUUGUGGCUAACUUCAGAUUAAAAAGGAAUGAGCAUGAAGCUAGAUGGAUUUGGUCUUACGAGUAAGAAAAUUCUUUCAGAUUUGCGUUGUGUGAGUAGUGGGUAUACAUUUGAUGUCACUUUUAUUACUCUUAAUAGCACAGAAGUCGAUGUUGGUUGUGAUUAGAGGCGAUACCACCUUCAUGAGUGUGCGGUCAUAAUGCGCUUGCAUUUUGUUACUCUAUAACGCUGUUCACCGGGUAUGUAACAUAAAAUCCUUUCUGUAAUAGGAUGCUUUAAUAGAGCUUUAUAAUCUCUGGAAUGUAUGACACUGGCAAACAUUUUAUUGGUUAUAUUUACGUCUGUGGCUAAUUCUGCGUACCUAGAUUCUGUAAUAUUUUUUAUUUGCCCCAUUGUACACGAUUUGCGGCAAUAAUUAUAAACAAGUAACGAAUAUUGUAUGUGAUAAAAAUAUAUUUAAAUAAAAAGGAAUUAAUAUAGUUCAUAUGUAUGGCUAUUCGCUGACUGUUUGAGGAUAUACAUUGAGCUGUAGUUGAUGCUUCGGUAAUAUUCAUGACAAGUCAAUAAUAAAAUCAACUUUCUUACUUGAAAAUACGCUUACAAACGAGCUUUUUCAUUUAUAGUGUUGUGAUGAAUAGUGUUUGGUUUAUUCAAUAGUUAUUUGUUUGUCGUGGUGCUUUGUGAUAUUGACUUAAACUUGUCUCCAGAGAUAUAAAGUUUAAUAAAUAUUAACUUAUCUUUAUAAAGCAAACAUCUAUCUAUUUUCCAAAAUUUAAAUAGUUGCCGGGUUUCAGAAAAUAUAUUUAGAGAAGAAAGUUUGUGCCUUGUACAUUAGAAAAAGACUAGGAAAUUUAUAAUUCAUAAUGAUUGAAAUCAAAACCACGUUUUUAUUUAUCGACAAUUAUAAUUAUCCACCAAAAAGUAAUUCAAAAUUAAAAAAUGUAAUUUCAAAUUCAAUAGUAAUAAAAAUAAUAUACAUAAAUCUAGUAUGGGUGAUAAGUGAAAUAAGUGAUGAGAAACUUUCGUAAAAGUUUGUUUUGCAUAAAAUUUAGUUCUGUGCUGUUUCUAGAUUGUGUGUCAGUGAAAAUGUGUUGCUUAUAUAGUUACAUACAAUAACAUAAAUGUAAUAUUAAAUAUUUCUUUUAAAUUACCUUGUAACUAAUAAAAUAAUGUCAAAACUUAUAAUGCUGUUAUUUGUAGGAUUCGUAGUAAGAUCCAAAUUCAGGUUAUAUUAUUUUAAAUAUUGUAUUUUUUUUUUGUUUGCAUAACAUAUCCCAUUACAGAUUAAACAUUACACAUUAUUGAAUAUUAUGAUGAGUUAAGUGAAUUCACGAAUAAUUAUUAAACAAGGAAAAAGAAGCUGAAAAAAAUACUGCAAAAAGUAAAAUAAUACUUACAUGGCCGGGAUUAAAAAGACAAAGAAAUUAAAAAAGUAUCAACACAGUUAUUGGCAAAUUGAUAAUUGUGAUUACAAUAACAGUUUAUGGGAAAGAUUAAAUUAAAUACAUAUUUAAUUUAACACAGCUAGGCUUAGCUAAGAUAAUUUUUAGCCCGUAAGUGUUUUUACAGAUUUUUAGGUACUCGUGCGCGAAAGGUUAAAAAGUAGACCUCGUAUUAAGUAAAUCAAUUUUGGCUUAUAAAAACGGUAACUGGUACACGAAGUUUUUGCAAGCAAGUAUUGGAUUGAACGUCUUAUUUUACUCAAUUUCUAAAAGCGUAAGAAUUUAACGAAAUUUAUCUCUUAACUAUUAUUUUUUGUUGUUUCUUUUUUACAUGUAGAAAUUCUAGGAAAUCUUCAUUAACUUAUUACUUUUUCAUUUUGUAUUUAGGAAAAAUUGCUCUAACAAUAUAUCAAUGGAGAAAGUUCCAGUUUUUAAAGAUUUUAAAAUAUUACAAUAGCUCAUACGGUUCCGAUAACACAUCACAGCAAGAUCGACUUUUUCACGAGUCAGUAAAUUGUUGAACUCCACUCCAUGGUAUGAUUUAUUUCUAGUAAAUUUUCAUUUUGCGUUUUGUUCUUUUCCGUUUCUUUAUUCAGUUAGCAAGCUCAUAUAAUUACUUUUCUAGAUAUAUGCUUUGUGGAAAUUUACUUUUUAAUGUAUUAUUAACGAUUACUACAAUUUACAACUGAGCUGAAAUAGAAGAAACAAUACAUUUGUUAAAAACAAUUUUGUUGCAACAACUACUUUGUUCUAAUCGUUUUAUCCUAACGUUUUCUUUUUGCGUUUGUAUUAUAUUUUUCUUGCAGUUAAUAUUUUGACAGUUUCACUCACGUUUCGACGUCAGAUGUCCUUAACGCACGAGUAGUAUAAGGUAUAUGAUUAGCAUUAUUGAUCUUAUUUUAUGUAUAAUGCAAUAAUCACCUAUAUAUGUUAACUAUAUGUUCCUCUAACAUUUUUAUGCUUGACUGCGUGUGUUCGUUUCGAUAUAUUUCACAGUUUUAACACGGCGGUUCGCCCUCAGGUUUCCAGUUACACGACAAGUGAUAGAACUAUUUUGUCGAAGUAUUCGUUGGUAUUUAAAAAUUAAUUACUAUCAAUAAAUAUUAUUGUCUUACAGCAUGAUUUUUAAAUGUAUUUUAAAAUCUUCAAUUUAUUUAAAAGUUCGCAAUUAUAGUUAUGUCUCGCUAACGUCGUUAUUCUUUUCUGCGUGUCCCUUUAAUAUUUUGUUACAGCUAACGGUUCUAACUAUAGUAUGGCAAGCUCGUUUGCGAUUGAUGACAACUCAAAGAACUGUAAUGCAGAUAUGCAACUUUAUCACCCUGUCACCAACACAAUUCACAUUUAUGAAAAAACGAAUACAACAUUAUAAUAAUUAAUUUAAAACGUUCCAUGACUGUUGAGUUAAUGCACGGGUGCUGCGUAAAACGUAAGAUAUAUCAAUUAAUAUUUAUAUUCGUUAACAAUAAUCAAUAUUAGUCCUAUUUUUCGCAUUUGUGUGUGUGUGUGUAAGAUUAUUUUACAGUUCCGUCUACGUAUCAGCCCAGCAGGAUUCGCGUAACGGCACCGGGAGAAAUCUUUAUCUAUAAAAUUAUUGCGAAUACAUACAUACAGAGGUACUUACAUUAACAGCAAUUGAUUAAACCUUAACUUAACAAUAAUCUUACUUAUCUAUUCUAAUUAGAUUUCUGCACAUUUCCCGUAACUUGUAUUUUUCUUGCCUGCGUGUCAUUUUGUCUUCUUCACAGUUACUUUCUGCCAGUUCCCGAGCAAAUGCCCGAUGGGUCGGUGCCCAUACUUGUGCGACAUACUUACAGUUGCAGCAGUAAAUUAACCGUACCUGUAUUUCGAAUCCCGUGUUAAAUAUUAUUGCAGAUAGGCGAGCAUCUACAUAAACCUGAGGGAUCACAUCACUAUUUCUUAAAGCAUCAACAAUAUAAUUAACAUCGAUUAUGUAAGUCGUAGUGCUAUCAUUGCUUAUAAAAUUUAUAUUACAAUAGAUAUAUGAUAUUUAUUUGUAAAUAGAUUUUUCAAAUCAAUUUUAACACUUUGUCACAUAAAGUUAAAUCGUUAGAAUAUAGUUUUUGAAUGAUUUGAUAAAGCAAUUUACUCGUAAUUGCAAAAGCAGAAUUUACUCGUACUUCUGCAAUUUUUUUAAAUGUAUUUGAGCUCGUGUUAGGCUUUUCUGCGUGUCGUUUGUAUUUUUUUUGCAGUUGAUGCUUUUAAAACAGCCGCGUAUAUUCAGCACUAGGCAGUUCUCGCACACUCGUGAGCCAGGCGUGAUUCGCAAGGUACACAUUACAACUGGAGAUUAUUGACCAAAAAAGCUUUCACCAUAAAAAGGAUUCAAGGGUAUGACCAUUAACUUAACGUUUUUAAUAAAGACUAUAGUUACAACCAUUUGAUUGGCCCAUUAAUUAUCUAAUGUAAUGUAAAUGUUUUUGCUUGUCUGCGUGUUUUUCUUUUUAUUUUACAGUUUCUAGUCCAGGUUUACUAAAACUGAAGAAUCUUAAGAAUAACGGGUAGACUUGAGAUUAACAGAGAAAUGCAUCCAGAAAUAUAAUAUAGACCGAAAUGACAUUAGGAUCAUGAUGAAUAUAGGUAUUUAAACAUAUAACUCGAUGUUAAUUUCUAACCUUCGCGUCUUAUUAAGGUACACUAAAUAUUUUUUUUUACAAAUACAGUUGAUGGUUAGAUAGUGCGUAAUUUUAAAUUAAACAAUAUAAUUGAAUUCUAUUAGGCAGCAUGAAUAUUGUCUGUGUUUACUUAUAUUUUUAUGUUGUCCUAGUUAAUUUUAUUGUAUUAUGUCUAUCACUGUUUGCAUAUGGGGACCCGGUAUGUUUUCUCUUUAUCUUUGCUUAUUUUUCCAAACGAAACAAAAUGCGCCAUUCUCAGAUACUCUCGCUGAGCCAUCAAAGUUUGAGUUACAUCUUCUUCGGGUAUUCUUUGAGUAUAAGGUAAAAAGGACACUUGGAUUACGAGAUUCGCGUUUCCCGAAAUCAGAUUGAUGCGCGAUAUUUUCAAAAGGUAUAGUUAUUACCAUGAAAUUAAUAGAAUCACAAGAAAUAUCCAACAGUAAGGAUCUGUCGAGUACAUCUUCAACGGCUCGUCUCAACGUCAUCAAAAUAGAACGCUUGAGGUUUCCCAUCCUGCGUAGCAGUAUUUAACAACAAGAUGUUCGAAGCUGUGAGUAAGAAUCAAAUUUGCCGCGUUUCCUGGUACCAGACUACCGCGUGAUAUUCUAAGAAGUACAAUAAUUACCUAGACUCCUAUAGAACUUCUGGCGCUAGUCCAAGCUACAGCAAAUAAGGCCGCACUAAUCUACUAAAGAAGGUUUCAAAUUUGUCAUGCGAUUUUGCCCGUUAGAGUACAAGAUGUUUCCCGGAAUCGGAUCACGGCGCUGUAUCCCGAAAGGUUCAAUCAUCACCACGACAUUUGCCAACAUCAAAAAUCAAAUUCAAAAGACUUUAACAAAAUAUUCUAAAACGCGCAUAGCGCGUAUAUCAGUAAGAUUACCGAGAUGUAAAAAGCUUGCUGUUAGUAAAAACUAAAUUUGCCAAGCGAUAUCUUUCUUAAAGGUUUCCGGAAUUACAGCGUGACAUUUCAAAGAGGUACAAUAAUGUUCCUAGUCGUAUACGGCUUUUAGCGCUCGUCCUAGUCACAGAAAGUGAUGUACGAGAUUCCGGAAUCGGAGAUAUAUUCUCAAAAGGUACAUUAAAUACCAAUUUUCUUCCUUAGAUUACAAGAUUUGCGGGAUCUUAUUAAUAUGGCGAGAUAUUCUCAAAAGGUACAAUUACUAAGUAACUCCAAGGAUUCUCGUCUUACUGGCAUUUGUGCGACUUCAAGAGAUUUAGACUCCCAUGUUGCAGUAUUACCGAAAUGAAUAAAGUAUCUUUCUUAAAGGUUUCCGGAAUUACAGCGUGACAUUUCAAAUAGGUACAAUAAUGUUCCUAGUCGUAUACGGCUUUUAGCGAUCGUCCUAGUCACAGAAAGUGAUGUACGAGAUUCCGGAAUCGGAGAUAUAUUCUCAAAAGGUACAUUAAAUACCAAUUUUCUUCCUUAGAUUACAAGAUUUGCGGGAUCUUAUUAAUAUGGCGCGAUAUUCUCAAAAGGUACAAUUACUAAGUAACUCCAAGGAUUCUCGUCUUACGGGCAUUUGUGCGACUUCAAGAGAUUUAGACUCCCAUGUUGCAGUAUUACCGAAAUGAAUAAAGCUCGCUGUAAGUAAAAUUAAAUUAGGCAUGCGAUUUCCUGCCUCAGAUUUUUGACAAUCGCGUUUUCCGGUAUCAAGACUACAGAGUGAUAUUCCUAAGAGGUACAAUAACUAGAAUGUAUAUAGUAAUAAAAUUCUUGGAAUUCAUUUUAUCAAUAAUGCUGCAGCGAGCUACUACAGAAGGUUUCUAAUUUACCAUACGACUUUCCCCUUUAGAUAUCACAGAUUCCCAGAAUCGGAGUAUGGCGCUAUAUUCUCAAAAGGUACAAUAAUUAUCAUGAAUUAUUAACGUUUUCGAGGAUUCUACUAGGCUACAAAAUAUUCUACGUACAUAACAUCAAGAAUCCCGUCAUUUUCGGCUUCGGGGGCAGCAAAUAAAUCUCAGCGGUAAUCCACUUCGCAUUUUUUUUCUACUAAAAUAAGGCAAAAAUAGUGUUAACUACAUUUUCCCACAGCCGCUAACUCUCGUCGUGUAAAGGAGUAGACGGUGCGUCGCGAUUAAGUCUUUGGAAAGGUUUAUAUCAAAUAGACUGAAUGUUUAUGAGCUUUUUACGUGUGAACUUCCUAAACAGUAUAUUUGCGAUUGAUGGAGUUUCUAAGGGCCGAUUGAUCGAGCACACCGGUAUACUGCUAAAAAGGUUUUUACCAAUUUGAUGUAAAAAAAUAUGUUUUAUACGUAGCUUAGCUAAAUGUCGUAGAUUAAUGGAUUCAGAUUCUAUCCAGAGAUCAGUAUUUACCAGAAAACGUCGGCGGAGGUACAGUUUCGAUGAAGUUUCACCAGAUUUACAAGAUUUGACGAUAGUUCCUCUGCUAGCCUACUUACUUCAGUCAGUAGAAAUACAGAAUUGAGCAAUCGGCGUGUUGCGUCAUUAAAAUUAAAGUACUUAUCAAAGUUACCAAAUUCGAGCAUCACGCGUAGAAGAUUUUAUUCACAUUACACAGAGGAAGUUUCGCAAUAUCAGAAUUUAAUACUUUUACCAAUUUCAAGUCGGCUCCAGCGACAAAAUUCACCCCCACUGUUGCCGUUACAUCAAACGACGCUGGUUGCAGUACUGUAACUACGAAAGGUUAAACAUUAUUUUAUUAUUUGAAAUGUAAACGAUUAUUCGCGGUAUCCGGACAAACAAAUGUUGCAGUACUCUUCAGACUAGGCUAUGCCGUCGGUAACCGAUUACCAACGAAGUAAAGGUAUAAAAUGAACAAUUUUAUCAGCAUGUCUUCGGUGUUUAUCUCCGUCGCAGAAUGUUUCUAACGGUCUCGAUCGUGGAAACUACGAGUACAAAGGUGGAAAUCCUCAGUAAAAUGUAGCUUCCGGCCACGGUCGCCGUACGCCCGCACUUCGUAGUUGGUACUGCAAUUUUGAUUUUAUAGCUUUUAAGGAUAGGUAAUAUAGUUCUUUCUACAUAGUAAAUUGAAUCCUAAUCAUAAAUUGUGCACAACGCAUCGAUUGAGAGCUUCUGCAACAGCAUGAUUUGCUGUGUUAUAUUGAAUUUAAUAGUCUAGCAGCAUUAAAUGUUAAAAAUUAACUGGCACAUGAUAAGUUGGAGAGCUUCUGGAACGUAUUAUGAUUCCCCGUAAUGUAUUUAAAUCAGCUACAUAACCAUUAUUUUGUUAUAGCGGUGGAAGGAGUUCCUGGGUAUAUUUAAUUAACUCUAUUUGAUUUCAGCAUUUUCCAUUUUCUUAUUCUUGACACCUGUUUGUACACGUACUAGUAACUGUGACUGUGUGAAAUAACUUAAUUAGUUUUUCCUUUUUAAAUAUAAAGCUUGCUUUAAACCUGGUGCUUAAUUGGACACAAACGACGAGGUUUUGCUAUCGGAAAGGCAACGCGACCUUCUACUUAGCAUGUUUGGACUGAUCUAUUUUGAAAAUCAACCCCAUUCUCGCAUACACUCGCCAAGCAAACUGUAGCUGUAGAUUACUUUGUCAACGCUAAUUGUAAGUAUGCAAUUGUGUGACGUGGUGUUUAACAUAGAUAUUACAACCAGCAGCAUCAUUAAUAAUAGGCGGCUUCUACUGCUAAUGGGUAUAAUUAUGAAUGUUAAUUAACUUUAAGAAACCGACCUAUUUCAGAAUUACAACAAUGUCGUUUGUCUUCUUGUCAAUGUCUACGUAAAUAGUUACUGCAUCUACUGUUAUAGCGAUUUGUUUUGGCUUGUGCGUGUUGUUUUCUUCUAAACUGCAAUUCUGAUUGUCCGUUUUGCCUUUUGCCCCUCCUUAAACUGAAGUUACUUGUGUCCUCAUUGUUAGAGAAUCAGGCUUUAAAAUGGCAUAAAAUAUAUUCCUAUCCUUUCCAUGUUUAGUUUUAUUUUUAGUUUUUAUAAAAUUCUUUAUGGUAUUUUUUUCAAUAUAAUUUAUUUUUAUUUUUAUGGCACUCAACCAGAAACAUUGUAAAAUUAUGUAUCGACCUUAUAGAAAAAACAAAAAUAACUAUGUACGAGUAUUUGAAUUGAUUUAACGCAAUAAAGUAUUAGAAUGGGGUCUUCGUUAAAUGUCUGGAACUUUUUUUUGUUUAUAAUAUUUACUCGUAUACAUUACACUGUACACUGCAGAUAAAAUAAAAGCAAACUUUGUUAUAAGCAUAAGAAACGAAAUAAAAUAAUAAAACUUUCAAGCUAUAAACGUCACGUUAUAGUAAUAAUUACUCAUUAAGAUAAUAAACAGAUUAUGUUACAUAUGUGUAUUAUAAGAAAAAAUAUAAAAUAAGGUAUUUCAUAAAUUAGAUUAUAUAGGGAUAAUACAGAAAUAGUAAUAUUUAUUUAUUAUAGUAAUAUUAAGUUAGUAAUAUUUAAGGCUAUGAGGUUAAUUUAUAUAGGAUAAGAAGUAUUUGCUACAUAAUGGGUAUUUUAUAAUAAAGCGUGACGAUAGGUCGUUAUAUGAAUGUGUUAGAACUUGCCACGAUAGGUACAUUAUAAAAGAAACAGUUAAAUCUUAUUAAGAACCGGGCGAUGAUAGGUAGAAAGAGGCAGGGUGAUGAAAAAA